CCUACGGGAGGCAGCAGUGGGGAAUUUUGGACAAUGGGCGCAAGCCUGAUCCAGCAAUGCCGCGUGAGUGAAGAAGGCCUUCGGGUUGUAAAGCUCUUUUGUCAGGGAAGAAACGGUGGGAGCUAAUAUCUCCUACUAAUGACGGUACCUGAAGAAUAAGCACCGGCUAACUACGUGCCAGCAGCCGCGGUAAUACGUAGGGUGCAAGCGUUAAUCGGAAUUACUGGGCGUAAAGCGUGCGCAGGCGGUUUUGUAAGUCUGUCGUGAAAGCCCCGGGCUCAACCUGGGAAUUGCGAUGGAGACUGCAAGGCUUGAAUCUGGCAGAGGGGGGUAGAAUUCCACGUGUAGCAGUGAAAUGCGUAGAGAUGUGGAGGAACACCGAUGGCGAAGGCAGCCCCCUGGGUCAAGAUUGACGCUCAUGCACGAAAGCGUGGGGAGCAAACAGGAUUAGAUACCCUGGUAGUCCACGCCCUAAACGAUGUCUACUAGUUGCCGGGUUUUAAUAACUUGGUAACGCAGCUAACGCGUGAAGUAGACCGCCUGGGGAGUACGGUCGCAAGAUUAAAACUCAAAUGAAAUUGACGG
rnacentral:rRNA from 1 species